CCCGCACAAGCGGUGGAGCAUGUGGUUUAAUUCGAUGAUACGCGAGGAACCUUACCUGGGCUCAAAUGUAUGUUGACGUAUUCUGAAAGGGAUACUUCUUCGGACAAUAUACAAGGUGCUGCAUGGUUGUCGUCAGCUCGUGCCGUGAGGUGUCGGGUUAAGUCCCAUAACGAGCGCAACCCCUAUCAUUAGUUGCCAUCAGGUCAAGCUGGGGACUCUAAUGAAACUGCCUACGCAAGUAGUGAGGAAGGUGGGGAUGACGUCAAAUCAGCACGGCCCUUACGUCCAGGGCUACACACGUGCUACAAUGGCCGGUACAGAGCGCAGCGAGGCCGCGAGGCGGAGCGAAUCGCUUAAAGCCGGUCCCAGUACGGAUUGGAGUCUGCAACCCGACUCCAUGAAGUUGGAAUCGCUAGUAAUCGCGCAUCAGCAUGGCGCGGUGAAUACGUUCCCGGGCCUU
rnacentral:rRNA from 1 species